rnacentral:lncRNA from 1 species
UGCUUUUUUCUUUUUGCUUUAUGGGUUCCUUCCUCUUUGCCUCUCUCCUAUUCUCUCUGUGUGUCUCUCUCUCUCUAGUCUGGAGACGAAGUCGAAGACGAUGGCGCACUGGUUGGACAAUACCCCUCUGUUCCUCCCUUCGUUUUCUUUCUCUCUGAUCGUUCAUUGUUCCCUCUGUUUCUGUCGUGUCCCUUUCUUUUUUCUC